UCUCCGUAGCUGGCUGGGCCACAGCCAUCUCUGGGUGAGUAUCUCUCUGACCGGCUCACUCUCAAGCAUGACUAGGAGG
rnacentral:pre_miRNA from 1 species